GUCCACGCCGUAAACGAUGUCGACUUGGAGGUUGUGCCCUUGAGGCGUGGCUUCCGGAGCUAACGCGUUAAGUCGACCGCCUGGGGAGUACGGCCGCAAGGUUAAAACUCAAAUGAAUUGACGGGGGCCCGCACAAGCGGUGGAGCAUGUGGUUUAAUUCGAUGCAACGCGAAGAACCUUACCUACUCUUGACAUCCAGAGAACUUAGCAGAGAUGCUUUGGUGCCUUCGGGAACUCUGAGACAGGUGCUGCAUGGCUGUCGU
rnacentral:rRNA from 1 species